AGCUCGUUGGGCUCAUAACCCAAAGGUCGCGGGUUCAAAUCCCGCCCCCGCAACCA
rnacentral:tRNA from 1 species